CCAGAGAACUUAGCAGAGAUGCUUUGGUGCCUUCGGGAACUCUGAGACAGGUGCUGCAUGGCUGUCGUCAGCUCGUGUUGUGAAAUGUUGGGUUAAGUCCCGCAACGAGCGCAACCCUUAUCCUUUGUUGCCAGCGGUCCGGCCGGGAACUCAAAGGAGACUGCCAGUGAUAAACUGGAGGAAGGUGGGGAUGACGUCAAGUCAUCAUGGCCCUUACGAGUAGGGCUACACACGUGCUACAAUGGCGCAUACAAAGAGAAGCGACCUCGCGAGAGCAAGCGGACCUCAUAAAGUGCGUCGUAGUCCGGAUUGGAGUCUGCAACUCGACUCCAUGAAGUCGGAAUCGCUAGUAAUCGUGGAUCAGAAUGCCACGGUGAAUACGUUCCCGGGCCUUGUACACACCGCCCGUCACACCAUGGGGGUGGGUUGCAAAAGAAGUAGGUAGCUUAACCUUCGGGAGGGCGCUUACCACUUUGUGAUUCAUGACUGGGGUGAAGUCGUAACAAGGUAAGCGUAGUGCU
rnacentral:rRNA from 1 species